rnacentral:rRNA from 1 species
GACGAACGCUGGCGGCGUGCCUAAUACAUGCAAGUUGAGCGCUGAAGGUUGGUACUUGUACCAACUGGAUGAGCAGCGAACGGGUGAGUAACGCGUGGGGAAUCUGCCUUUGAGCGGGGGACAACAUUUGGAAACGAAUGCUAAUACCGCAUAAAAACUUUAAACACAAGUUUUAAGUUUGAAAGAUGCAAUUGCAUCACUCAAAGAUGAUCCCGCGUUGUAUUAGCUAGUUGGUGAGGUAAAGGCUCACCAAGGCGAUGAUACAUAGCCGACCUGAGAGGGUGAUCGGCCACAUUGGGACGGAGACACGGCCCAAAGUCCUACGGGAGGCAGCAGUAGGGAAUCUUCGGCAAGGGACGAAAGUCUGACCGAGCAACGCCGCGUGAGUGAAGAAGGUUGUCGGAUCGGAAAACUCUGUUGGUAGAGAAGAACGUUGGUGAGAGUGGAAAGCUCAUCAAGUGACGGUAACUACCCAGAAAGGGACGGCUAACUACGUG